rnacentral:rRNA from 1 species
UACGGGGGGGUGCGAGCGUUGUCCGGAAUCACUGGGCGUAAAGGGCGCGUAGGUGGCGUCGUAAGUUUGUGGUGAAAGCCCGGAGCUCAACUCCGGGUCUGCCGCGAAUACUGCGAGGCUUGAGUACUGUAGAGGGGGGUAGAAUAUCGGGUGUAGCGGUGGAAUGCGUAGAGAUCCGAUAGAAGACCGGUGGCGAAGGCGGCCCCCUGGGCAGUAACUGACACUGAGGCGCGACAGCGUGGGGAGCAAACAGG